rnacentral:lncRNA from 1 species
ACCAGAAACCCUUGGGCUUGGGUAUGUUAACUUUGGAUCUUAGGCAAAUUAUACAGAAGUCAUUGGUGAACUUUUUACAUUCAUGCAUAUAUAAGACGAAUAUUCCCAACAUAGCAGCAACAUACAAUGGGACACGGGUUAUUCCCGCUGCCGACCCGUUCCUUAGACCGCCUGUAAAACCCGUAAAUCUUCGACAUCGACCGCGAGUCCCCCUUACUGCUGCUUGCUUAAAUAUAUAUAUUACUUCUUUGGACUAACCACAUGCGCUUCUUGAGCGCCUUUAAUUUACUACGAGGAGCAGAUGGUAAAACCCAAUUAGAUUUGUCAGACAAGCACGCACUUAAACCCUAUAUAAGGUAAACAAAAGGCCAAGCCGAACAAGAAUCAACCAAUCAUUGCGCACCUCUCGAGUAAUUUCCACAGCUAUAUAAAAAAAAAAAGACAAGUUCGCUUCAGUUCUGCUUCUUAGGAAAGAAAGAUGGAUCAAAUCUCACGCCCAGGGUCAACUCUCGACUCUACUAACUCGAAAAAACCAGCAAGAGUGGUAAGCUCUCUUCAAGAUGAUAGCAACUAUAUUUAUAAUCGAUGCAUCCUUCGCGACGGACUGAAAGACAGUAGUAUUAAGUUUGAAGGCCUUGUGAAGAACCAAAACGGAGAGGAUAAUUUUGAACAUGAACGUACGUGGCACUUCGUGCGUACGGCAGGCUGUAAAAUAAGAGACGUCAUGACCACCUAUUUGACACGUAAUCUCCCAAAGAUCGAUAAAGAUGCACAACAAGACUUACGAAGCGCCUUUGAAAACCUGUUUGUGUACAGUGCCUACAAAGAUAAGCUUAAAAAUGAAGGUCAAAAAGUUUGGAAGUCAUUGAAUUUGCUUCUAUUUAAUCCAGAAAUUGGUGGAAAUGAGGAAGAUUACGUGGCUCACGUCACUUUCAGUUGCACCACCACGAAAGGCCCAGAAAAUCACUACACAGUUCAUACGAGCAUCACUUGCCAUAAGUUCACCUGGUUUGCUUUUCAAGAAGAAGAUAUGGAAGAUUUUCUGGAGGCUCUUAAGAACGUUAGGGUGGCUGAACGCUAAACUAGCUUGUCGAAAAAAGACCAGAAAGCCUCCUAAAAACAGUGCUUGAUAAAAACCACGAAAAAUAUGUAACGUCUUCAGCUUUUUUUCUUUUUGACAAAACAUUUUUNGUUUACAAAGUUUUGAUUUGUUUUUAUCUUUUAGGUUAGUAAAGUAUUUGCAAAUGUUAAAAUCGUUUCAGUCUUUCGAGGUAAUAAUCUAGUUAUUAUUCCAUGUGGUUUUAACUAUAUGUCUUCUGGGAACAACCGGAAGUAUAGUUUCUUGGAAAAGAUCAUCGGUUCCAAGAAAAAACAUUUAUUUUUUUCCUCGCGAGAGAUCAUUCUCAGAAACGAAAAUGACUCUUGUUUGAUUUAUGAGUUUCACUAAGAAUAGUACGAUUUAUAAUUCGAAAAGUUUGUAACAAGAAAUUAGUUUUAACACUGUAAGCAAUUAUUAUAAGCAAUUAUGUCGUAAGAAACUAGAAAAAGCUCUACAGACCACGACUAUUACUUUCUAUAACCGUUAAAUGAUAAAACACUUCUUAGUUCUUUCGAUUUACUGGUUUAUUGUUAAUGAAUUAUCGAUGUUUUUCAAGUUGAAAUGGAGUGAUAAGAUUACUUGAUGUGGUUAAAUAAAACAUGACUUUCUGGGUCUGUAA